GCCAGGUCCUCAGUUUUCCUACAUGGGAGAGUCUGGCUGCCCAGGAAAUGAGACAAGAUUCACCCUGGCCCCGUGCGAGUGUUUGGCUCUGGAAGGUGGCCUCUGCCUGAAGCCAGCGGGGCGGCAUCGCUGGCCACGCGUGCUGAGGGAAGGCUGAGCACGAGGGCUCCGCGGUGCACCACUUAUCCAGAGAUGCUGCUUAAGGCUGGUCACAUCCAGCUGGGUGUCCCAGUGACAGAGCUGCUCCACACUUGCCCCCAUCGAUCUCCUGUCACUCAUUAGUACAUCUAGGGAAAUGCGCUACACACGGAGAAGAUGUUCUGACGACUUGAGAGCAGAGUGGGCUGUGUUAUCACCGUGUCCUCGACACUUCCACAGCCCAGCGUAAACAGUCCCGUCUUCUGCUCGCAGCUGAAAUUGCAGUGGAGAAGGUGCUCGGAGAGUUCGAUUUACACGCGCCUCAAUGUUUAGAAAUGACCAUUUGAGAAUCAGGGAAUGGGUGAAUUGAUGGUUUCCCCCCCUACCUCCCAGUUUUCCCCCAGGGGAGGCAAGGAGGACGUUCAGGAGAGGCUGCCUGCCGGGGAGGAGCCCACCGGAGCCCACCUCCUAGACAUUUUGUAGUUUUUAAAGAACAAUCUGUUUUUAAAAUUCUUGUCUCAGAAGAACCUCAGUUACGGAGACACUGAUCACCUGUUUGGAAGAAAACAUACAUCUUACGAUGAACAGACUAGGCUAGGCCCGAAGGUCAACGUCACUGUGGCUGAGCGCUCAGAGUAAGUGCUGGUCCCUCAGAGGGACAGGGCGGCCAUCAGGAAGCACCAGAAGCCUUGCUGGUGGUCCCCUGUUGCCAACGUGGGCUUGCACCCGAGCCUGCGACCUCAUGACGCAUGCUCAUGGCUCGUGUGCAGGGAGCCAGCCUGUGCCAUGAGCGUCGGCCUGCACCCGGUGCCAUGGCACACUGCAAUCUGGAUAAAGCCCACAUGAUGGCACGCGGGAGACCUGCAUCUCUCAUACCUGGCCCAUGUGGAGGCCUGAAGGGGUGACACUCUCUGCAAACACGUCGUUCUGUUCU